AUUAAAAUUAAUUAUUUAAAAAAUUUUAAAAAAAAUAAUUUUAGGUUUUAUUAUAAUUUUAUAAAAAAUAAUAAUAAUGAUAAUUUAUUAGUAUUGUGAAAGAAGAUUGAAAUAAUUGAAAAAUUUAUAUAAUUUAAAGAAAAAUUAAUUUUUUGUACCUUGUGUAUCAGGGUUUAUUAAAUAAAAAUUAUUUAAUUUAAUUUUCUCGAUUUUAAAAGAGCUAAGAAAUUAUUUAUUUUAUUGUAACAUAAAUAUUUAAAAUAAUUUUUUAGUAAUGAAAUGUUAUUCGUUUUUAAAUAUAUCUAGUUGUUUAAGAAAUAAAUUUAAUUUAGUUAUUUAUUUAAUAUUAAUUUAAUUAAUUAAUUUAAUAUAAUAAAUAUUAAAUAUUUUAAGGGAUAAGCUUUAAAAUAAAUUUUUAUAAAAAUAUUUAUUAAUAUAAAAAAAUGUAGAAUUAGAAUUAUUUAUCAUUAAUAGUAUGUUAUAAUUAAUUUUUAUAUAAAUAUAAUUUAUAUAUUUUUUAAAUUUUUUAUUAAACUUAUAUAUAAAAUUAUAUAUUAUAUUUAAUAAUGAUAAAAUUAGUAUAAUUUUUUGUAAAUUUAAUUUAUUUAAUAAAGGUUAAGUAAAGGAAUUCGGCAAAAAUUUUUUCGCCUGUUUAUUAAAAACAUGGCUUUUUGAUAAUAAUUUAAAGUCUGACCUGCCCAAUGAAAUUUGAAUGGCCGCGGUAUAUUGACUGUGCGAAGGUAGCAUAAUAAUUAGUUUUUUAAUUGGAAACUGGUAUGAAUGGUUGGACGAGAAAAAAGCUGUCUCUAUUUAAUUUAAUUAGAAUUUUAUCUUUAAGUAAAAAAGCUUAAAUAUAUUUAAAAGACGAGAAGACCCUAUAGAGUUUUAUAUAAUUAAUAUAUUAAAUUUUGAAGAAUUAAUAUUUUAUUGUUUUAAUUAUAUUUGGUUGGGGUGACUAAAAAAUUGAAUUAACUUUUUUUAUUAAUUAAACAUUAAUGUAUGAAUGUAUGAUCCAUUAUUUAUGAUUAAAAGAUUAAAUUACCUUAGGGAUAACAGCGUAAUUUUUUUUGAGAGUUCUUAUCGAAAAAAAAGAUUGCGACCUCGAUGUUGGAUUAAAAUUAACUUUUGGUGUAGAAGCUAAAAAUGUUAGGUCUGUUCGACCUUUAAAAUUUUACAUGAUCUGAGUUUAAACCGGUGUGAGCCAGGUUGGUUUCUAUCUUUAAAAAAUUUAAAAUAUUUUAGUACGAAAGGACCAAAUAUUUAUAAAAAUUAUUUUUAUUAAGAAUG
rnacentral:rRNA from 1 species